rnacentral:lncRNA from 1 species
CAUUACUGCAACCUCGCAAAAGCAAGCGAAAAGCAAUAUAAAAAAGUAAUGAAUAAAGCGCAAAAGAAAUACAGGAAAGAAAUCAGAAAUAAAAUGAAUUCACUGAAAAAUAAUGAUACGAAAGAAUACUGGAAAAUUUUGAAUAACCGUGAUGGCACAGUACAACCAAAAAUAGAUUUUGAAAAUUUGCUUACAUUUUUUAAAGAACUAAAUACAGCCAAAGACAAUAUAAACGAUACAAAAG